GACGAACGCUGGCGGCGUGCUUAACACAUGCAAGUCGAACGGAAAGGCCCUGCUUUUGUGGGGUGCUCGAGUGGCGAACGGGUGAGUAACACGUGAGUAACCUGCCCUUGACUUUGGGAUAACUUCAGGAAACUGGGGCUAAUACCGGAUAGGAGCUCCUGCUGCAUGGUGGGGGUUGGAAAGUUUCGGCGGUUGGGGAUGGACUCGCGGCUUAUCAGCUUGUUGGUGGGGUAGUGGCUUACCAAGGCUUUGACGGGUAGCCGGCCUGAGAGGGUGACCGGCCACAUUGGGACUGAGGUACGGCCCGGAAUCCUACGGGAGGCAGCAGUGGGGAAUAUUGCACAAUGGGCGGAAGCCUGAUGCAGCAACGCCGCGUGCGGGAUGACGGCCUUCGGGUUGUAAACCGCUUUCGCCUGUGACGAAGCGUGAGUGACGGUAAUGGGUAAAGAAGCACCGGCUAACUACGUG
rnacentral:rRNA from 1 species